rnacentral:rRNA from 1 species
CCAGUGGCGAAGGCGGCUCUCUGGUCUGUAACUGACGCUGAGGCGCGAAAGCGUGGGGAGCGAACAGGAUUAGAUACCCUGGUAGUCCACGCCGUAAACGAUGAGUGCUAGGUGUUGGGGGGUUCCACCCUCAGUGCUGAAGUUAACACAUUAAGCACUCCGCCUGGGGAGUACGACCGCAAGGUUGAAACUCAAAGGAAUUGACGGGGGCCCGCACAAGCAGUGGAGCAUGUGGUUUAAUUCGAAGCAACGCGAAGAACCUUACCAGGUCUUGACAUCCUCUGCCACUCCUAGAGAUAGGACGUUCCCCUUCGGGGGACAGAGUGACAGGUGGUGCAUGGUUGUCGUCAGCUCGUGUCGUGAGAUGUUGGGUUAAGUCCCGCAACGAGCGCAACCCUUGAUCUUAGUUGCCAGCAUUYAGUUGGGCACUCUAAGGUGACUGCCGGUGACAAACCGGAGGAAGGUGGGGACGACGUCAAAUCAUCAUGCCCCUUAUGACCUGGGCUACACACGUGCUACAAUGGACGGUACAAAGGGCUGCGACACCGCGAGGUGAAGCGAAUCCCAUAAAGCCGUUCUCAGUUCGGAUUGUAGGCUGCAACUCGCCUACAUGAAGCCGGAAUUGCUAGUAAUCGCGGAUCAGCAUGCCGCGGUGAAUACGUUCCCGGGCCUUGUACACACCGCCCGUCACACCACGAGAGUUUGUAACACCCGAAGUCGGUGAGGUAACCUUUUGGAGCCAGCCGCCGAAGGU